AGGACGAACGCUGGCGGCGUGCUUAACACAUGCAAGUGGUGCGACGAACCAGGCUUCGGCCUGGGGCAAAGCCGCGAACGGGUGAGUAACACGUGGGUAACCUGCCUCGAAGACCGGGACAACCCGGGGAAACCCGAGCUAAUACCGGAUGUGGUCGUCUCUCUAUAAGGGAGACGAGCAAAGGGAGCUUCGGCCCCCGCUUCGAGAGUCGGCCCGCGGCCCAGUUAGCUUGGUUGGUGAGGUAACGGCUACAACCGAAGGCGACGAGUGGGUAGCGUGGUCUGAGAGGACGAUCAGCCACACGUGGGACUGGAGACGACGGCCCAGACUCCGUACGGGA
rnacentral:rRNA from 1 species